UACGGAGGGUGCGAGCGUUGUCCGGAAUCAUUGGGCGUAAAGGGCGCGUAGGUGGCCCGGUCAGUCUUUGGUGAAAGCGCGGGGCUCAACCCUGCGUCGGCCAGGGAUACUGCCGCGGCUCGAGCACUGUAGAGGCAGGCGGAAUUCCGGGUGUAGCGGUGAAAUGCGUAGAUAUCUGGAGGAAUACCGGUGGCGAAGGCGGCAUCCUGGACCGGCAUUGACGCUGAGUGAGCGAAAGCCAGGGGAGCAAACGGG
rnacentral:rRNA from 1 species